rnacentral:tRNA from 1 species
AGGCGUGUAGCUCAACUGGCAGAGCAACGGUCUCCAAAACCGUAGGUUGGGGGUUCGAGUCCCUCCACGCCUG